rnacentral:lncRNA from 1 species
UAACAAGCAGUUAGUAUGUAUGCAUGUUCCAAAACGUAUGAUUGUGGCUAAUAUACAGAGAUCAUCAGUGAUAAUUGUUUCGAUAUCCACUUGCUCUCCGUCUGAAUAUUCAGUGCAAAAUUAACUUUGCAUGGAGAAACCAGUGUGUGAAGAACGACUCGAGUAGCGACUGAAAUGGGAAGAUGCCUGGAUUAUGAUCUCUGAAGCCUUUGGUCUGAAAAAUACGAAAUGGGGAAACUGUC